rnacentral:lncRNA from 1 species
GAGACCACAAUCCCGGUAGGGUUCCCUACGGACCCGGUCCGUCCACAAUCUCCCAGGAUAUCUAGUCAGGCUGACCACAUUAUGGAAUUACCCAUUUACAUAAUCUAUCAUUGUCUUUUCCCUCAGUCAGCAUCAUCAAUCCACAUACAAACAAGCAAAACAGUAAUUUAUGCCAAACAGACAACAUACAGCAUCAAUAUCCCAGUCAUUCAAUCCAUAAUCAAUAAAAGAGUACAAUAUGCACACGAAACUAUAAAAUGAAAACAUCAAACCUCAUACUGCAUUUAAAACUGUAAAACAUGCCAAAUAACAGUUAACCGACAAACACACUAGAUUCGGGCUCCAUUAGCGACCCUAAGCAAUUUCACACAUUCGUUGAUUCAUGAAAUACCGUUUUAUCAUUUAUUGAACUUUAAAACCGUGAUAGGAAAUAGGGUGAGGGGUCCUUACUUGUUUCGGGGUCCGAACACGGCUUCACAGUGCGCCUACAGGCUGUCCCUAAUUUUCCCUGAAUUUUUUUCGGAGAACUGAAACGCACUACUGGUACCUGCACGUGUUCCAAAAAAUUCCAAAUUAGGCCCAGGGUCCCUUUCGGCCAAUAUUGCAAUUCCGGCACGGCGGCGGUUCGCCUCGGGUUGGCCGUUUUCGGCCGUUUCCGGCUGAAUUCGGCCACACUCGCAUUGGUUCCUGCGAUAAAACAACCCUACGGCCCUCGGAGGGGCGAAAAUUUACGGAAAACCAAAGCUUACCGGCGGCGGUGCUCUCGGGUGCGGCGGCUCUCCGGUGAAGUUCGUGUUUUGGUGAUUCGGCUCCGAUCAACCUGUAGAGAAAAGAAUGGCGAUCACGGUGGUAUAAAAAUUGCAUUAAACGGAGGCCGGGAAGGGCCUCAUCGGAGGCAAAAACCGAGGAGGGGCGCAGCGGCGCCGCUGGGCUUCGGCCGUGUUUUCCGGCCGUUUGGCCAGGAUUUUGGCUCCGAUUUGGCCACCGAGAAAAUUAGCGUGGAAAAACGAGUCGGGGGUAUGAAAUUUACCUCGAUCGGCAGUCGAAAAUCCCUCCGGUGCGGCGGCGGGUGGCGGCAGUCGGCUUCUGGUUCGUCUUCUUCGGCGAGGGCAGGCGGCUAGGGUUUUGUGGUCUGGUGUGGG